rnacentral:rRNA from 1 species
CCUACGGGAGGCAGCAGUGGGGAAUAUUGCACAAUGGGGGAAACCCUGAUGCAGCGACGCCGCGUGAGUGAAGAAGUAUUUCGGUAUGUAAAGCUCUAUCAGCAGGGAAGAGAAUGACGGUACCUGAGUAAGAAGCCCCGGCGAACGACGUGCCAGCGGCGGCGGUACUACGUAGGGGGCAAGCGUUAGCCGGAUUUACUGGGUGUAAAGGGAGCGUAGACGGCGAAGAAAGUCUGAAGUGAAAGCCCGCGGCUCAACCGCGGAACUGCUUUGGAAACUGUUUUGCUGGAGUACCGGAGAGCUGAGCCGGAUUCCUAGGGUAGCGGUGAAAAGCGUAGAUAUUAGGAGGAACAACCGUGGCGAAGGCGGCUUACUGGACGGUAGCUGACGUUGCGGCUCGAAAGCGUGGGGAGCAAACAGGAUUAGAUACCCUUGUAGUC